CAAGUCGAACGCGAAAGCGCCCUUCGGGGUGCAAGUAGAGUGGCGCACGGGUGAGUAACACGUAGGUAAUCUACCUUUGGAUGGGGAAUAACAACCGGAAACGGUUGCUAAUACCGCAUAAUGCAGCGGCACCUAAUGGUGACAGUUGUUAAAGCGGGGGAUCGAAAGACCUCGCGUCUGAAGAGGAGCCUGCGGCGGAUUAGCUAGUUGGUAAGGUAAUGGCUUACCAAGGCUAUGAUCCGUAACCGGCCUGAGAGGGCGGUCGGUCACACUGACACUGACAUACGGGUCAGACUCCUACGGGAGGCAGCAGUCGGGAAUUUUGGGCAAUGGGCGAAAGCCUGACCCAGCAACGCCGCGUGAAGGAUGAAAUCCCUCGGGAUGUAAACUUCGCAAGAACAGGAAGAAUAAGUUUGUGCCAACACCACAAGCGAUGACGGUACUGUUUGUAAGCUCCGGCUAACUCCGUGCCAGCAGCCGCGGUAAUACGGGGGGAGCAAGCGUUGUUCGGAUUUACUGGGCGUAAGGGCGCGUAGGCGGCCACCGCAAGUCAGUUGUGAAAUCUCUGGGCUUAACCCAGAAAGGUCAACUGAUACUGCGGGGCUAGAGUGCAGAAGGGGCAACUGGAAUUCUCGGUGUAGCGGUGAAAUGCGUAGAUAUCGAGAGGAACACCUGCGGCGAAGGCGGGUUGCUGGGCUGACACUGACGCUGAUGUGCGAAAGCUAGGGGAGCGAACGGGAUUAGAUACCCCGGUAGUCCUAGCCUUAAACGAUGAAUGCUUGGUGUCUGGGGUUUUAUAGUCCCCGGGUGCC
rnacentral:rRNA from 1 species